UGCCCAGCAACUCCUAUCCCUACCUCCUCGUGCGUGGUACCGGCCGGAAACUAUGAGCAACCUUAGGGAAGAUCGGGUAACCAACCCUGGUGGGAACUUUGGUCGUAGGCUGACAGGGAAGG
rnacentral:ribozyme from 1 species